rnacentral:misc_RNA from 1 species
CUGCGGAAGGAUCAUUGUCGAAUCCCCGACGAAAACCCGCGAACGCGUUCGAAAAUCCGCGUCGGGCGUCCGGGGUAGAAGCCGGCGCCCCUCGCCCCCCGCCCGGCCGAACGGGGCACCUAGACCGGCCGACCGGGCGACCGAAACAAAAAUCGGCGCGGGAAGCGCCAAGGACUCACGAAACGGGAUAYGCCUUCCCGCGGAGAGGGCCGUUCGCGGAAUCCUCGCCUCGGGGCUCCGAAGGCGCCCGAAACGAAAYGUCACACGACUCUCGGCAACGGAUAUCUUGGCUCUCGCAUCGAUGAAGAACGUAGCAAACUGCGAUACUUGGUGUGAAUUGCAGAAUCCCGUGAACCAUCGAGUCUUUGAACGCAAGUUGCGCCCGAAGCCGCUAGGCCGAGGGCACGCCUGCCUGGGCGUCACGCAUCGCGUCGCCCCUCCCCGCCCCCUUCCCCCCGAAAGGGGGUCGCGGGCAGAGCGGAGGGGCGGAAGUUGGCUUCCCGUGCUCCGUCGCGGCCGGCCUAAAACAAGUUUCCCCCGACGCGGACGUCGCGACGAGUGGUGGUCGUCGAGAUUGAACGCGAGUCGCCGGCAAGCCGCGUCGAGGAGAGCGUUCGGACCCCCUUGCGGGCGAGAGAGUCCUUCCCCGAGGGGUAGGGAGAAUCUCGCCACGACCGCGACCCCAGGUCAGGC